rnacentral:rRNA from 1 species
UGGAGUUUGAUCCCUGCUUCAGAAUUGAACGCUGCCGGCAGCUUAACACAUGCAAGUCGAGCAGGGGAAACAGUAGCUUGCUACCUGAACCUAGCGCGGACGGGUGAGUAAUGCCUUAGGAAUCUGCCUAUUAGUGGGGGACAACAUUCCCGAAAGGAACGCUAAUACCGCAUACGUCCUACGGGAGAAAAGCAGGGGAUCUUCGGACCUUGCGCUAAUAGAUGAGCCUAAGUCGGAUUAGCUAGUUGGUGGGGUAAAGGCCUACCAAGGCGACGAUCUGUAGCGGGUCUGAGAGGAUGAUCCGCCACACUGGGACUGAGACACGGCCCAGACUCCUACGGGAGGCAGCAGUGGGGAAUAUUGGACAAUGGGCGGAAGCCUGAUCCAGCCAUGCCGCGUGUGUGAAGAAGGCCUUUUGGUUGUAAAGCACUUUAAGCGAGGAGGAGGCUCCUUUAGUUAAUACCUAAAGAGAGUGGACGUUACUCGCAGAAUAAGCACCGGCUAACUCUGUGCCAGCAGCCGCGGUAAUACAGAGGGUGCGAGCGUUAAUCGGAUUUACUGGGCGUAAAGCGUGCGUAGGCGGCUUUUUAAGUCGGAUGUGAAAUCCCUGAGCUUAACUUAGGAAUUGCAUUCGAUACUGGAAAGCUAGAGUAUGGGAGAGGAUGGUAGAAUUCCAGGUGUAGCGGUGAAAUGCGUAGAGAUCUGGAGGAAUACCGAUGGCGAAGGCAGCCAUCUGGCCUAAUACUGACGCUGAGGUACGAAAGCAUGGGGAGCAAACAGGAUUAGAUACCCUGGUAGUCCAUGCCGUAAACGAUGUCUCCUAACCGUUGGGGCCUUUGAGGCUUUAGUGGCGCAGCUAACGCGAUAAGUAGACCCGCCUGGGGAGUAUCGA